GUUCUAUAAAGGAAACUUCCCUAGAAAGAAACCACUUCUAAAUGGAAUAAUUAAAAUAAUUUGUUAGAAACUUUAAGUUACCCUAUGAGCUCCUAGUAACACUGUUUUCAAGCUCAUAGGUUAAUUGUUAAGCCCUUUUGCUCCGAGUUGAACUGAUCAAAUGGCUCUGUGUAAAAGGUAACAGUGUAGAAUCCUCUUUGAGAAAUAGCAUGUAAACUUGGGAGAAAUGGCCUAAGCCCACGGUUCUCAAGUCACUGAGACAGUUGAAAAAGCCCCCUCAGGUGGUGAGAAUGGGAUAAUAUUUUAUUAUAUCUCUAAGAUGCCUCAAAUCCAAAGAGAUAAUUAAAUUUGGAAUUUUAUUAGUUUCACCUAAUAGUUGUAUAAAAGCUGAAUAUUUAAGGAUCUCCUUUAUCAGGCACUGAGAUGCUUUGUAUACAUUACUUCAUUUAGUUUUCACAAUAGUCCUAAGAGGUGGAGGUAUUUUUGACCCUGUUUUAUAGUUGAAGAACAGGCUCAGUAAGGUUAUAUUACCUGCUCCAAAUUUCACAGCUAGUUAAUUUAGUUUAUGUUGGAAGUUAGCAUUUAAGACCUUUUAAUUCAGGGUGUGCAUUUUCCUCUUGCGUGUCACAAGUGCUAUUCAGGCUUUCUCUAGUUGAAUCCCCUGUUUGUGAGUGCAUACCUGCAGUAUUUUAUAUGCUAAGUGAAAUAUUUUUAAAUUUACGUUAGCACCUAGAUUAGCGUUGAACCUGUUUUAAGAAUGGCAGAGUCUUGCUCUGUUGCCCAGGCUGGAGUGCAGCAUCAUGAUCUCGACUCACUGCAACCUCAAGCAGUCUUCCCACCUCAGCCUGCUGAGUAGCUGAGACUACAGAGAUGGGGGUCUCACUGUGUUUCUCAAGCUGGUCACAUACUCUUGGCCUCAGGCAGUUCUCCCACAUCAGACUCUCAAAGCACUGGGCUUACAGCUGUGAGCCUGGCCUUUUUAAAAAAAAAAAAAAAAUCAAAACAAAACAAAACAAGAUUAUGUCUUUCCCACGCUUCCAUCAACAUUUUUCAUUCACC
rnacentral:lncRNA from 1 species